UUUAUAUAUAAAUCUGCUACAUUUAAUAUAAAUUAUUAUAUAUAUAUCACUAAUCAGAAACGUAUCUACCAAUGCUGACAGAAAAAUAGAAAUGAGCAAUAAUCAAUUUUUUGCACAGACUUAUCUGUUUCUGAUAGGCCACGGUUUGUACUUGCGAUCGUUAAUGAACGAUACGAAGGUAGGUGCGUAAAUCGCUUGAUAAAGAUUUUCUUAUCCGUUGGUACGGUCGAGAAUAUUUUCAGUAUCGGUUUCCCUUUGCUGACAGAUAGCAGAAACACGGAUUUUGCUUACGAAAAAUAUUACCGUCGAGUAUUGUGCGUUUAACGAAAACAAAAAAAGAAAAGAAAAAUCCGUGCAUGUCGUAUGAACAAUCGCGUAGACGACAGUAAAGAACCGCUGCAAGAGGAUCAACGAUAGAACGAUCGAAUUGAUUUCGAUCUUAGCAGACAAUAUUGUGCUGUAGCGAAUAUCUUUACUUGAUUAGAGAGAAAAGAUACAAUGAAUAUACGAUAAUUAGUUAGCAUGUUUUUUAUCGGAGUGUAAGUGUAAAAAUAAAGAAGAAAAAGAACAAUC